UACGUAGGGGGCAAGCGUUGUCCGGAAUUAUUGGGCGUAAAGCGCGCGCAGGCGGCCUUUUAAGUCUGAUGUGAAAGCCCCCGGCUCAACCGGGGAGGGUCAUUGGAAACUGGAAGGCUUGAGUGCAGAAGAGAAGAGCGGAAUUCCACGUGUAGCGGUGAAAUGCGUAGAGAUGUGGAGGAACACCAGUGGCGAAGGCGGCUCUUUGGUCUGUAACUGACGCUGAGGCGCGAAAGCGUGGGGAGCAAACAGG
rnacentral:rRNA from 1 species